rnacentral:sRNA from 1 species
CGUCCUUCAUAACCAUCACUUAAUUCAC